rnacentral:rRNA from 1 species
AUAUAAGUAGGGAAGUCCAGGUCCCUGGCUGUCAAGAAAAGCCGCUAUCGUUUUAUAUGUGCCCGUACCGCAAACCGACACAGGUGGAUGAGGAGAGAAUCCUAAGGCCGACGGGAGAAGUAUUGUUAAGGAACUCGGCAAAAUGACUCCGUAACUUCGGGAGAAGGAGUGCCAUGAGAGUGGCCGCAGAGAAAUGGCCCAAGCAACUGUUUAGCAAAAACACAGGUCUAUGCAAAACCGCAAGGUGAAGUAUAUGGGCUGACGCCUGCCCGGUGCUGGAAGGUUAAGGGGAGAGGUUAGCGCAAGCGAAGCUUUGAACUUAAGCCCCAGUAAACGGCGGCCGUAACAAUAACGGUCCUAAGGUAGCGAAAUUCCUUGUCGGGUAAGUUCCGACCCGCACGAAAGGCGUAAUGAUUUGGGCACUGUCUCAACGAUACACCCGGUGAAAUUGAAAUACCAGUGAAGAUGCUGGUUACCUGCGCCAGGACGGAAAGACCCCAUGGAGCUUUACUCCAGUUUGAUACUGGGAUUCGGCAUGGUAUGUACAGGAUAGGUGGGAGACUGAGAAGGUAUGACGUCAGUUGUACCGGAGUCGCUGUUGGGAUACCACCCUUACCAUGUUGGAUUUCUAACCUGUGGCCGUGAUCCGGUCAGGGGACAAUGCCAGGCGGGGAGUUUGACUGGGGCGGUCGCCUCCGAAAGGGUAUCGGAGGCGCUCAAAGGUUCCCUCAGAAUGGUUGGAAACCAUUCGAAGAGUGCAAAGGCAGAAGGGAGCUUGACUGUGACACCGACGGGUGGAGCAGGUACGAAAGUAGGACUUAGUGAUCCGGUGGUAUAAAGUGGGAUUGCCAUCGCUCAACGGAUAAAAGCUACCCUGGGGAUAACAGGCUUAUCACUCCCAAGAGUUCACAUCGACGGAGUGGUUUGGCACCUUGAUGUCGGCUCAUCGCAUCCUGGAGCUGUAGCAGGUUCCAAGGGUUGGGCUGUUCGCCCAUUAAAGCGGUACGCGAGCUGGGUUCAGAACGUCGUGAGACAGUUCGGUCCCUAUCCGGCGCAGGCGGAGGAAAUUUGAUAGGAGCUGUCCUUAGUACGAGAGGACCGGGAUGGACGGACCGCUGGUGUAUCUGUUGUACUGCCAAGUGCAUAGCAGAGUAGCCAAGUCUGGAAGGGAUAAACGCUGAAGGCAUCUAAGCGUGAAGCCCCCCUAAAGAUAAGAUUUCCCAUACCGAAAGGUAGUAAGACCCCUUGAAGACGACGAGGUAGAUAGGGCAGAGGUGGAAGUACGGUAACGUAUGGAGCUGACUGUUACUAAUCGGUCGAGGCUUUAAUC